GAUGAACGCUGGCGGCGUGCGUAACACAUGCAAGUUGGACGACGGUGCCAUGAAGUGGUAACACGGAGUGGUAUACGGAGUAGCGGACGGGUGAGUACAACAUGAGAAGCUGUCCUUCAGUGGGGGACAACGUCUGGAAGCGGACGCUAAUACCCCAUAGGCCGAGAGGUUAAAGCAGAGAUGCGCUGGAGGAGGUGCUCGUGCCCUAUCGGCUGGUUGGUGAGGUAACGGCUCACCAAGGCGACGACGGGUAGCCGGCCUGAGAGGGUGAACGGCCACACUGGAACUGAGAUACGGUCCAGACUCCUACGGGAGGCAGCAGCUGGGGAAUAUUGGGCAAUGGGAGGAAUCCUGACCCAGCGACGCCGCGUGAACGAUGAAGGCCUUAGGGUUGUAAAGUUCUUUUAUGUGGGAAGAAGGAAGUGACGGUACCACAUGAAUAAGCCCCGCUAACUAAC
rnacentral:rRNA from 1 species